UACGAAGGGGGCUAGCGUUGCUCGGAAUUACUGGGCGUAAAGCGCACGUAGGCGGCUUUCUAAGUCGGGGGUGAAAUCCUGGAGCUCAACUCCAGAACUGCCUUCGAUACUGGAAAGCUCGAGUCCGGGAGAGGUGAGUGGAACGUGCGAGUGUAGAGGUGAAAUUCGUAGAUAUUCGCAAGAACACCGGUGGCGAAGGCGGCCCACUGGCUCGAUACUGACGCUGAGGUGCGAAAGCGUGGGGAGCAAACAGG
rnacentral:rRNA from 1 species